rnacentral:misc_RNA from 1 species
GAUGAAGAACGUAGUGAAAUGCGAUACUUGGUGUGAAUUGCAGAAUCCCGUGAACCAUCGAGUCUUUGAACGCAAGUUGCGCCCGAAGCCAUUAGGCCGAGGGCACGCCUGCCUGGGCGUCACACGUCGUUGCCCCCCUAUCUACUCCUUCGGGAUUGCGGGGGGCGGAUGAUGGCCUCCCGUGCGCCUCGUCGCGCGGUUGGCAUAAAUGCCAAGUCCUCGGCGACACACGCCACGACAAUCGGUGGUUGCGAAACCUCGGUUGCCCGUCGUGUGCGGUCGUCGCGCAUCGAGGGCUCGAAAAAAUUGCCGGGCUCCGGCUCGGCUUUCAACGCGACCCCAGGUCAGGCGGGGUUACCCGCUGAAUUUAAGCAUAUCAAUAAGCGGAGGA